AGUGAACGCUGGCGGUAGGCCUAACACAUGCAAGUCGAACGGCAGCACAGUAAGAGCUUGCUCUUACGGGUGGCGAGUGGCGGACGGGUGAGGAAUACAUCGGAAUCUACUUUUUCGUGGGGGAUAACGUAGGGAAACUUACGCUAAUACCGCAUACGACCUACGGGUGAAAGCAGGGGAUCUUCGGACCUUGCGCGAUUGAAUGAGCCGAUGUCGGAUUAGCUAGUUGGCGGGGUAAAGGCCCACCAAGGCGACGAUCCGUAGCUGGUCUGAGAGGAUGAUCACCCACACUGGAGCUGAGACACGUUCCAGACUCCUACGGGAGGCAGCAGUGGGGAAUAUUGGACAAUGGGCGCAAGCCUGAUCCAGCCAUACCGCGUGGGUGAAGAAGGCCUUCGGGUUGUAAAGCCCUUUUGUUGGGAAAGAAAAGCAGCAGGUUAAUACCCCGCUGUUCUGACGGUACCCAAAGAAUAAGCACCGGCUAACUUCGUG
rnacentral:rRNA from 1 species